rnacentral:rRNA from 1 species
AACGAACGCUGGCGGCAUGCCUAACACAUGCAAGUCGAACGAGACCUUCGGGUCUAGUGGCGCACGGGUGCGUAACGCGUGGGAACCUGCCCUUAGGUUAGGAAUAACUCCCCGAAAGGGGUGCUAAUACCGGAUAAUGUCUUCGGACCAAAGAUUUAUCGCCUUUGGAUGGGCCCGCGUUGGAUUAGCUAGUUGGUAGGGUAAAAGCCUACCAAGGCGACGAUGCAUAGCUGGUCUGAGAGGAUGCUCAGCCACACUGGGACUGAGACACGGCCCAGACUCCUACGGGAGGCAGCAGUGGGGAAUAUUGGACAAUGGGCGAAAGCCUGAUCCAGCAAUGCCGCGUGAGUGAUGAAGGCCUUAGGGUUGUAAAGCUCUUUUACCCGGGAUGAUAAUGACAGUACCGGGAGAAUAAGCUCCGGCUAACUCCGUG